AUGCUUAGGGGGGAGUUUAGGGAGGAGUUUAGGGAGGGUAUCGGACAGUCAGAGGAGAGCCUAAAGUAGCACAAAGGCGGUAGCCACACUCAUCAUGGCGGCCAAAGGGCGACCGAGCGGAGGGGGGCGGAGCCACUCCUGGCGGUUGGGGCACGUCGCCGUCUCCGUCGUCGCAUUUAUUGGUUUGUUUGAGAAGGAAUCAGAAAGGCAAUGGAUGGAAGUGGACGUCGGUCAAAGUUAGUCCCGCCUCCAGACUCUCAUCGCGCUUCUCAGCGCCGGGACUCCUUCAAGAUCGCCAGUGCCUGCCUUGCUCGGUUUGCCCUUUUCUCCGGGGUGACGUCACGGCGUAACCGUCACACCCUCGAGACGUGCGAACGGCUCCGCAGGGUGUGGAGAAGGUGGAGGGUGCAGUUGGGUGAGGUAGCCUUGGGGUGUGGACUCCUGCCUGCUGGGCUGAAAGGCCUUGAGCUACGGGACGCAAUGGAACUGGGAAGCUUACCGUUUGACGACGCUUGUUCCAAGGCGGAAGAGCUCGCUGCAGCCUCUGUCGCCGCCCUCUCUGUAACCUUGUUGGGCUGGGCGGGGAGUUCCUGCCCGUUCUCAACCUUGGGUCCGGAGCUCAAAUGACCACCCAUCUUGGGGGCCUCGAAGAGUUGGGCUUUUUUCCCCCUGCCGCGGCUUGGGCCAUUAGGCAAGUGAGAUUCGGCCCAUGCGGUUUGGCGUCGUUUCAAGGGCCUUGACUUUUGUGUCACCUCCCCGAAUUUGAGUUUUCUCUGGCUGACCACGUAGGUCCCCUGGGGAAGUUCCCGAGGGGAAAACUGAUCGCGCUCGGCCAAAUGAAAAAAAGAGGUGCAGCAUGUUUGGGGCUGGGUGCGAAACCGUUCCCUCUUGGACGUAUUUCAGACCCAAUAGUAGUCGUUAAGGAGGAGACCUUCACCCAGGCCCUGCCAGGCCCUGGAAGCCUGUGCUGAGCUCUGCGGGAGGAGGGCCGCCGACCCCGAAAGUAGUCAACUAGGGGUUGCGGAAAUGGAGCUGUUAGGCUUACACCUGGUUGGUGGGACUGGAGGACGUUUCACGAAGGAGGUAGCAUUCGUACCGGACCUUGUAAAGGUAACGUGAUUCCAACAGGUGGGAGUUGAGAACCUAGACUAUUCUGGUUACAGCCGAGGGGCCAUUUCCCAAGUUUGAAGGAACCCAGGCCUUGCUGUAGAAACUGGUUUCUGCCAUUACUACUGACGCCUUUACUGCCGUGUGUUGCCUUUCUUUUUGCAGGGAGAAGAGGGAUGACGAUUAAAUACAUCAGAUAAGAGCUAAACCUGAUGGUAAAGAUUAGAGAGAUCAAGGGCCUCCUUGGACUCCUCCCCUGGACCCUCUGCAUCCAGCCGGCUGGUUAGCUAAGAGAGAGAAAACCACGAAAGGUAGUGAACGCUGGAAAUGGUGUCAGUUAUUUCUUCCCACGUCGUGUUGGUCUGACCCAGUUGUCCGGCCCCAACCUGAGUCAAGCAAACUGGGACAUGGCUUCCUAUGUGCUCAGGAGGAAGAAAUGGGAAUGAUGAGCAUCUGGCCAAUCUCUGCUGCGACUGCUAAUUUUGGUGGCCUCCAGGCCAGAGCUACUGACUUGCUGAGGAAGAGAUGUAGGAGGAUUAUACUCUUGUACACAUUGGAUUUUAUAAAUCCAAAUAUUACCUCUUCAAAUAAAUUAAAAAAGAGGAGACUGGUGGAAUUAUGGGUCAUCCAUACCACGUAAGAGUGAAGUACAUCUGUACAUACUGGAAUGGAACGAUCUUCAGUGAAGAUGGGCAACAUUUAAAAGCCAGAGAAUACCAAGUGCUGGCCGAAAUAAAGAGCCGCCGAAACUCUCAGACCUUGCUAGGUGGAAUGUCACCGGACGCGACCUCUUUGGAAAGCAGAUCUUGACCAGGGGAAGCUACAGAAGACAGAUACAGAGAAUACAAAGAACCCAAGAGCAUCAGAGGCUUGUGGACCACUUCCCCAGUAUGGCAUGAGGGAGGCUGCAGGCUGCUAGAAGAAACCUUGCAUUUGGCUCUGCAUCGUGUCCGAAAUACUAAUCGGAAUGGCAAGACGAAAGUCGAGCCCGACAACUUCACAAGCACAUUUAGCGCCUUUGCUUGGAUCCUGUCUGCUGACAUCCCAACGGCCGACAUAAGUCACAUACCCGAGCUCAGCGUCAGUAGGGCAGAAAGUAGACUCUCAUGAAGAGAGGAGAGAAAGAAAGGAAUAAAUGUCUUCUGAAUUAUAAUCUAAUCUGUGAUCUUCAGCACAGUGGCCAUAGUAACUCCAGUGAAAAUUCUGGAGUUCUAUUCCUAAGGAAAGGAAGGGAAGCUAGAUUCGGAGGACAAUUUCUGUCACAAUGUGUAUCAGUCAGGAGGCAGUUUCUUCUAGUUUAAUGGAAACAUGAAUGUGUUCCUCGGUGGAAGCAUCCUUCUCUUUGGCACUAGGACCUCCAAACCCACUGAGCCCAAGUUUGUAGAGAUGAGAAGCACAAAAAUUCCUUUAUACAAAGUUCAUUUGAUGUAACAGUGAGGAGGGUCACCUCACUCCAUUCAAUUGACUGAACCACCCAGGUGCCCCUCUCUAAAAAAAAAAGAAAACAUAAAGAAAAGAGUAAACUUGAACUCAAGGUGAACAGAAGAAAAGAAAUGACAACCAGAAUGAAAUUCAGUGAAAUACUAAACAAAAAACGAGAGAGAAAAAGCCAUGAAACCAAAAACUGAUUCUUUGAGAAAAAAAUCUAUACAGUUGUUAAACUAGUAGUCAGACUAAUCAGGAAAAAGUAGAGAAAACACAAAUUACCAAUAUCAGGAAUGAGAGAGAUGACAUCACAGUUUUUACAGAUAUUGAAAGGGUAAUUUAGGAAUAUUAUGAACAACUUAAUGCCAAUAUAUUUAACAAAUGAAAUGGAUGCAUUUCUUGAAAGACACAAACUAUCAAAACUCCUUUCUGAAGGAAUAGAUAAUGCACAUAGAGUUAUAUCCACAUUUUUGAAUUUUUAGUUAAAAUACGCACCCGCCGCCCCCAAAGACAGUGUUGGCAAUGGCCAGAUCAGCUUGGUGAGAGCAAGUCUGUGUUGUUGAGUCCAUCAAUGUCUCCUUUCGUCACCGUGGGCCACUUUGCAAAUGGAUCUAUUAACCAAGCACUAGAGAGUAUCUGAGGAAGAGGCCAUCUGAUGUUCGCAGAUUGUGUCAUCUUGUCCUGAUUAUUGAGAGUCUCAUCUACAACAGAUGCCCUUGGGUGAGCAUUUAUAUGGAACAUGAAUAUGCUUUGUGGAUCGCAAGAAGUCCAUCUUUAUUUCGACCUCCUUGUCCCCAGCCUUCUAAUCUUGUUCUUUCCAAAUUCCUGACCAGUGGGCCAGGCUAACCCCCAAGUCAGGUUAGAUCUGGGCAUUAACUAGAUCUGCAGUAGAGUUCUGCUCACCGGAGAAUGUCCCUUCUCUACAGGCUUUUGGAGCCACUCCAGAGCGGGCUGUGCUGCAAUGCUUCUGGCUGCUUCUGUAAGAAGCCUGCACUUUCCUUUCCUCCACUAACUGACCUUUUUUGUUUUUAGAGAGAGAGAGAGAAAGCGAGAGCACGCAAGCUGGGGAAAGGGACAGAGAGAGAGAGAGAGAGAGAGAGAGAGAGAGAGAGAAUCUUAAGCAGGCUCCCUGCUCAGCUUGGAGCUCGACAUGGGGCUCAAUCCCAUGACUCUGGGAUCAUGAUCUGAGCUGAAAUCAAGAGUCAGAUGCUCAACCGACUGAGCCACCCAGGCAGCCCUCCUCAUGGCCUUAUCGUUUUCCACCUGCACUGUAUCCCAGGCCACUGCCAUGAUAAUGUGCUUAUUUGUGAGGACACUGCCUGUUAUGGACUGCCAGGGUCCCAUUUCGCCACAACAAGGAGGUUAUCCAUGCCUUCCUCAUAUACAUGAGCAUCUCAGUUCUGGAAUCCUACUUUUUUUUCAACAAUUCUAUACAUUACACACUGCUCACCACAGUAAGUAGGGUUACCAUCUGUCACCAUACAGUAUUAUUACGGUAUUAUUGACUGUACUCCCCAUGCUGUACUUUUCGUCUCCAUGACUUACUUGUUUUAUAACUGGAAUUUUGUGCCUCUUAAUACCUUUAAUACCUUUCAUCUAUUUCAUCCAUCCUCCCCACCCACCUCCCCUCUGGCAACCACCAGUUUGUUCUCUGCAUUUAUGAGCUUGUUUCUGUUUGUUGGUUUAUUAUUUGCUUGUUUGUAUGUUUUGCUUUUUAAAUUCCACAUGUAGGUGAAAUCUUACCAUAUUUGUCUUUGUCUGUCUGACUUAUCUCACUUAGCGUAGUACCCUCUAGGUCCAUCCAUGUUGUCACAAAUAGUAAGAUCUCAUUCUUUUUUUUAAGUCUGAGUAAUAGUCCAUUGUUAUAUACCACAUGUUCUUCUUUUUUUAAUGUUUAUUUAUUUUUUAUUUUUUAAACAUUUAUUUAUUAUUGAGAGACAGAGAGAGACAGACCGUGAGCAGGGGAGGGGCAGAGAGAGAGGGAGACACAGAAUCCCAAGCAGGCUCCGGGCUCUGAGCUCGGCACAGAGCCCGACGCGGGGCUCGAAGUCACACAGUGUGAGAUUAUGACCUGAGCCAAAGUCUGACGCUCAACCGACUGAGCCACCCAGGUGCCCCUAUACCAAAUGUUCUUUAUCCACGGAAUCAUUUCUCCCCCCAUGGAAUCUUAUUUCAAAACCACUUCUUUUUUUUUUUUUUUUUUAAUUUUUUUUUAACAUUUAUUUAUUUUUGAGACAGAGAGAGACAGAGCAUGAAUGGGGGAGGGGCAGAGAGGGAGGGAGACACAGAAUCGGAAGCAGGCUCCAGGCUCUGGGCCAUCAGCCCAGAGCCUGACGCGGGGCUCGAACUCACGGACCGCGAGAUCAUGACCUGAGCUGAAGUUGGACGCUCAACCGACUGAGCCACCCAGGUGCCCCUCAAAACCACUUCUAAUACCAAUGAUUGUACUAGUCAGGUCCCAAAAGGAAGUAAGUGGCACACUCAAAAUGGAUAACUUGAGGAGAGUUUGAUAAAGGAGGUUUUUGCAGAGUCAUGGUCAGGGAAUAGGGAAUCCAAAAAGAAUGUGCACUAGUCCAGGACUGGCAACCUUGGGGAGCAAAACAGCCCUAGGCCAUGAAGGAGCAAGGAGACAGGGGACUACUGGGACCAGAGAAGGUAAGUGAAGGAGAAAGCUACCUGAAAGUAGCUAUAGCCUUUGAUAGAAAGGAAGUUAUCCCUCGGCAAGCUCUCAAGAAGGGAGGCAAGCGAAUAAAUACCCCGACUUCCAUCUCUUCCUACUCUCUGAUCUCCUGCUGGUGCCUCCCAUUGGCCAACAGAAAACCAGUGGACAAAGGGAGCCUACUGAUGUCAUCCUUGAAGGUCAAUACUCUGAGGCACAGAGCCUGGUGGAGAACAAGGGGAGGAGAAGGGGAGGAGGAGACCUAUCUAUCUAGCACACAACCCAAACAAGUUAAACAGGGAAUUUACUGGUUCCUGCAAAGUCAAGCUGUAAGGCUUGAAGCAAGGGCUCAAAUAAAGUCAUCAGUGUCUGGUUUUUCCUCCAUCCACAGGUUUCAUAUACAGGCAGGCUCUCCCAUCAUGCUCCAAAAUGGCUCCAGAAUGCACAGCCUUUUUCAUUCAAACGUAGUGGAGUCUAUCAAAGGAUUCAUUGGGUCUCAUUGACUCUCAUUGGGUCACAUGAAAUGCCUGAACCAACCGCAGUGCUUAGCAUCAAAGAGAAGUGCUGCUUGGCCUAGAUCUCUGGAGCUAGGACUGGGUGAAAUCAUGGCAUGGAACCUGGAUGACUAGGGAAAAGUUGAUAUUGAAUAGCCAAAAUGCUACAUACCCUGUAUCAUCUUUUAAUGGUUGAAGCAGAACUUUUCCAUUUUUUUUGUAUCUGUGGAUCAUCUGGAGAUCCUGUUAAAAGUGCGGAAUCUGAUGAAGUAGGUCUGGGGUGGGGCAAAUUAAUUUCAUCUGUUUCUUUUUACUUUUUUAACAUGGUUACUAGAGCAUUAAAAAAUACAUGUGUUUCUGUUGGAUAGUGCUAUCCUAGAAGGAGGUAAUGAAGUGGAUGAAGGUGUUGAUCUUGAAACACAUUCAUUUUCACUUAUGAAUACUCAAUCAGAAGAACCAAAUAUAGCAGAGACCACAUGAGACUUACCUCAUGGGUCCUUGGACUUGGUCCACCCUCAGGACCUCAGGGUUAUGUGGUUGCAGGUUGAAUUAAUGCAUGAGUGCUUAGGAUAGAGGACUCUGGAACGAGCCUGCUACGGUUUGACCUGAGGAAAGAGGAAAUGCUGGGGAUCCCAGAGUUGCUCCCCCCAACCAGCAGUCACUUCAUUUCCCAUUUUUGUUUACGCAGUUGUCUGAAUUACAGGAAUUACAACUGUGCUUAUCAACUUCCCUGAUCUGUCCUGCACACAUCCACUCAACUGAUCUCUGCACUCCCUUUUAGCCCUUUCCUGCCCAGACAUAUGCUCCCAGCUGCAAUCUGCUUUCUAGGAACUCCCUACUGAACCCAGAAUGUCUUGUCCUACCAGUCCACGGGCCCCCAAAUGUGUCUCCCACUUUCCCCAUCUGUCUAAGUUAUUCCCUUACUGCUUGAAUCUCUGUCUCCACCACCUCCACCUUUCAAAGCCCACCUCAAGGUUAUCUGCCUCCAGAGAGGCCUUUUCAAGACCUGGCCCACAGAAGCCUGCCUUCAGAACUUGUAGCACAUGCUGUCUUUGGCCAGCAUAUCUGCUAUGGAGGGCUGUGUUGUCUAACUCUUAAGUUAUUAGGGUUUUCCUGCAUUUGUGCCUUGAUUCUUUGGGCUGUAAGUUCCUUGAGGACAGAGCCCUGUUUAGUUUAUAUUUGAAUUCCCCUUUUGACCAGGGCCUGUAUAAUAAAUAGAUCCUCAAAAAAUAUAAUUUGGCUCAUUUUCCCAAUACAAAACAAAAUGCUAGUUGAAAAUACAUAGACUUUUAUAUGAAAUAUAUGCAUAAACAUAUUUUCAAUGAUCAUUUUUAUAAUGGAGAGUAUUCUUUUUUAAAAACAAGAUAGUAGAUAAAGGCUGCGAGGAUGUGGAGAAAAGGGACCCCUUGUGCACUGUUGGUGAGAGUGCAGAGUGCAAAUUUCCAAUAAGCCAGUUGGAAAGCAAUUCCACUUCUGGGUAUAUAUCCAAAGGAAAUGAAAACACUGUGUCAAAGAGAUAUCCGCACCUUCAUGUUCAUAGCAUUAUUUAUAAUGACCAAGGCAUAGAAACAACCUAGGUGCCCACUGAUAUGUGAAUGGAUAAAGAAGUUGUGGUAUCUAUAUACACAAUGAAACAUUUAGCAAUAAAUCCUGCCAUUUGAGACGACAUGGAUGAUCCUAGAGGGUAUUAUGCUAAAUGAAAAUAAGUAAGGCAGAGAAAGACAAAUACUGCAUGAUCUCACUUACAUAUGGAAUCAAAACAAAGAACCAAGCUCAGAGAGAUCAGAUUUGUGGCAACCACAGGUGGGAGGUGGGGAGGGGGAGGGUUGAACUGGAUGAAGGUGGUCAAAAGGUAGAGACUUCCAGUUAUAAAAUAAAUAAGCACGGGGGAUAUAAUGUAUAACUCAAUGACUAAUGACUAUGGUUAACACUGCUGUAUAGUAUAUUGAAGCUUGUUAAAAAGAGUGGAUUUUAAGAGCUCUCUUCAUAAGUAAAAAGGUCUUUUUUAAAAUCUAUAUGGGAUGAUGAAUGUUAACUUACUGUGGUAAUCAUUUGCAUUGUAUGUAAGGAAAGUCAUUAUGCUGUAUACCUUAAACUUACAUAGUGUUGUAUGUGAAUUACAUUUCAGUGAGACUGGGGGAAUAAGCAAGAUGGAAAAUUAACUUUAAUCAUUGCAUAAACGUUUUUUUACUUCA